ACUUAGCAACACUUUUAAACAUCCUCUCAUUGGCUCUCCGGGUCCGGCGCGGCCAGAUGACGUCACUGUUCUGAGACCCGCGACUUCAGCGGCUGGACGCGGCGGGAAUGGCAGCGCCGGACAGGUGACGGGGGUUGUUUGCUGUCAUGUGGUAUGCGCCGAUGCGGCAGGACAUCAUUGGAGACGCUGUAUUCGUGAUGACAUCAGGAGUCCGUGGCCCGGUCGGGACACAACGCAAGUCAGUCUCUACUGGGUGUUGGUGAUGGCCUAUAAGUAUUUGACUCCUGUAGCCUGGACAGCAAGUUUUAAACAAACAAUAUGAUGGG